rnacentral:rRNA from 1 species
UACGUAGGUGGCAAGCGUUGUUCGGAAUCACUGGGCGUAAAGCGCACGUAGGCGGGUUCUUAAGUCAGGGGUGAAAUCCUGGAGCUCAACUCCAGAACUGCCUUUGAUACUGGGAAUCUCGAGUCCGGGAGAGGUGAGUGGAACUGCGAGUGUAGAGGUGAAAUUCGUAGAUAUUCGCAAGAACACCAGUGGCGAAGGCGGCUCACUGGCCCGGUACUGACGCUGAGGUGCGAAAGCGUGGGGAGCAAACAGG